rfam:Cellulomonas bogoriensis 69B4 = DSM 16987 strain 69B4 contig35, whole genome shotgun sequence.
UCGGUCUGCGGUUCACGCCUGCGAUCAGCGCAGGCGACCCGGAGGCC